UAGCACAGCGGAACGAGUGGUUGAGCCUGCAUCCGACUCGAACGAAAUGGCACCGUCACCCACAAAGCGUAAGGAGGAGGAAAAGUCAAAGGACAGGGGAAAAGAGAAGACUGCCACUAAGGAAGGGGGGGACAAGGAGAGAGGCAGGGAGAAGGGCCACAAACGACGCAGUGCAUCCACUGGGAGCAGCAGCAGGUGAGAUGCCACCAAUUGCUCUUUCAGAUUCUGUACAGUCUUUAACUACCUCAAACAGUGCUUUAGGACACACUAGCUAGGUCUUUUCACGCUAAGCCAAGCUGGAAUGCCCUAUGUUCCAACGUGGGCCAAGAGGUUAAGAGAUGGUACUUCCCUGUUUUACUCAGUUUCCUUCGAUUGUGUGCCUAAUGAACACAACCCUUGUUGCUGGCCUGUUUGUGUAUGUAUAUCUAUACUACCCAGCUCCAGCAGCAGCUCUGGCUCCAGCUCUGGUUCCUCCAGCGGCUCUAGUUCCUCUGGCACCAGCCGCUCUGGGUCUUCCCGGUCCAGCUCCUCCAGCUCAUCUAGUUCCUCUGGGUCACCCGACCCCGGCCGCCGCCGCCACGACAACCGUCGCCGCUCCCGCUCCGCGUCCAAAACACAGAAGAAGGGAGAUGACAAGGAGCGAAGGAGAAGGAGCCCGAGCCCCAAGCCCACCAAAGUUCACUUAGGAAGACUGACCAGAAAUGUGACCAAGGACCACAUCCAGGAGAUCUUUGCCACCUACGGCAAGAUCAAGAUGAUUGACAUGCCAGUGGAGAGGCUCCACCCAAACCUGUCCCGGGGCUACGCCUAUGUGGAGUUCGAGACUCCAGAGGAGGCCCAGAAGGCCCUGAAACACAUGGAUGGUGGUACGAGGGCAUCUUGGGCACGUUCAUUAGGCCACAGCGUAGUAGAAUGUUGUGCAAAUGAAAAUGAGCAAUUCUUAUUGGACAUGUUCAGAUGGUUCCUCUUGGUUUCCGGUUGUUUUGUGCCUACUGAACACAAUCUUGUAGACUGUAACAAUAACAGACCUGGUACAUACUUUUUUGAGCUACAAGUAAUACAUUCCCAAUGUAGCCAAUUAAACCUGGCUGUUGCACAAACAGCACGUGACUGGAGAUUAGCUGUGAGAGGCUUUUUCAUUUUCUCCCAGUCGAUGCAUGACUCACGAAGGGUAAACGCUGAAAGUGGUUUGUGCAUCGUCUGUGAUGCCAUCUUCCGGUGGAGCAGCUAAAAACCUACAAUGACGGCGUUGUUUUAUGCGAACGCUACGUCCCCAAUGUAUCAUCUCAGUGCAGAGCCUAACACCUUGUACUGCUGGCUAACACCUUGUACUGCUGGCUAGCCCCUUGUACUGCUGGCUAGCCCCUUGUACUGCUGGCUAGCCCCUUGUACUGCUGGCUAGCCCCUUGUACUGCUGGCUAGCCCCUUGUACUGCUGGCUAGCCCCUUGUACUGCUGGCUAGCCCCUUGUACUGCUGGCUAGCCCCUUGUACUGCUGGCUAGCCCCUUGUACUGCUGGCUAGCCCCUUGUACUGCUGGCUAGCCCCUUGUACUGCUGGCUAACCCCUUGUACUGCUGGCUAACCCCUUGUACUGCUGGCUAUCCCCUUGUACUGCUGGCUAACCCCUUGUACUGCUGGCUAUCCCCUUGUACUGCUGGCUAUCCCCUUGUACUGCUGGCUAACCCCUUGUACUGCUGGCUAACCCCUUGUACUGCUGGCUAACCCCUUGUACUGCUGGCUAUCCCCUUGUACUGCUGGCUAUCCCCUUGUACUGCUGGCUAUCCCCUUGUACUGCUGGCUAUCCCCUUGUACUGCUGGCUAACCCCAUGUACUGCUGGCUAGCCCCUUGUACUGCUGGCUAACCCCAUGUACUGCUGGCUAGCCCCUUGUACUGCUGGCUAGCCCCUUGUACUGCUGGCUAGCCCCUUGUACUGCUGGCUAGCCCCUUGUACUGCUGGCUAGCCCCUUGUACUGCUGGCUAGCCCCUUGUACUGCUGGCUAGCCCCUUGUACUGCUGGCUAGCCCCUUGUACUGCUUUGUGUCAGUCUGAAAUCUCAAUGUCCUGGAGUUUAUAUACAUUUUAACAGAGAUGUUUCUAGUAUGACGUUGAGGUUUGUGCAUCUUUCUGUUGCUCCCAGGUCAGAUUGAUGGUCAGGAGAUCACCACCUCUGCCGUGUUGGCUCCAAGGAUACGCCCUGCCCCUCGUAGACAGUCACCCCCACGCAGAAUGCCCCCACCUCCCCCCAUGUGGCGCCGCACCCCACCUCGCAUGAGGAGAAGGUCUCGGUCACCAAGGAGACGGUCCCCGGUGCGCCGACGCUCCAGGUCCCCGGGGCGCAGACGUCAUCGUUCCCGCUCCAGUUCCAACUCCUCACGGUAGAGGAACAAUGCUAUCCCCCUGCCCGCCCACCCCAACAACCCAGGGUGAAUGUAUUUUCCAUAAUUUCUUGCAUCCUGUCUCUUCCUUAAAAUGCAUUGGAGGACAAAAUAGGAAUGUACCUUCUCAUCCAAUGUGCUUUGAGGUGGUGAGAAGAGAGGAUGAAAGGAAUCAAGGAAAUACAAUUGAGCUUGUACCUAAAAAGAAUUUGUCUGAAGUGAACAGUCUAGUUGUUUUGUUUGUCUCAUUACGUUUUUCCAGUUUUCAUUUUAAGGUUCCCAAACAGUCGUUCAGAUUACUUGUUGAUCGUCAUGUCCUUUGUUAUCCAAUCAGAGCUCAGGCUUUGUUUUAGUACUAAUGAUUUGCUCAAGAUGUGUAGCCUGUCUUUUUACCACCGUGUACUGAUUUUGUACAUGCUUUGAAAAUAAAAAGGAAGAAACUUCAACCUCAAA